GAUGAACGCUGGCGGCGUGCUUAACACAUGCAAGUCGAACGGAAAGGCUCCUGCUUGCAGGGGUACUCGAGUGGCGAACGGGUGAGUAGCACGUGGGUGAUCUGCCCUGCACUUCGGGAUAAGCCUGGGAAACUGGGUCUAAUACCGGAUAGGACGAUGGUUUGGAUGCCAUUGUGGAAAGUUUUUUCGGUGUGGGAUGAGCUCGCGGCCUAUCAGCUUGUUGGUGGGGUAAUGGCCUACCAAGGCGUCGACGGGUAGCCGGCCUGAGAGGGUGUACGGCCACAUUGGGACUGAGAUACGGCCCAGACUCCUACGGGAGGCAGCAGUGGGGAAUAUUGCACAAUGGGCGCAAGCCUGAUGCAGCGACGCCGCGUGGGGGAUGACGGCCUUCGGGUUGUAAACUCCUUUCGCUAGGGACGAAGCGCAAGUGACGGUACCUGGAGAAGAAGCACCGGCUAACUACGU
rnacentral:rRNA from 1 species